UCUGGCCCCAGAUGUCAGCCUAAUGUGAGGGAAAUUAUUUUACUGCUAUUGUUAAAUAAUUGUCAUUGCAUUAAUAAUAUAAUCUGCAGCAUGGAUAUUGCAUUCCAAGGUUUAAACAGUGUCUCUUUCAGAAAGACUGAGUUGCAGGCUGACAGGAAGUUGUAUGUAGAAAGAAGCAGGAAGUUAUUUUGAGCCGCAGGCUAAGACGAGGCUUUAACAAUGUAACAGAUAGCUUUAAGAAGGCCUUAAGCAGUUAUGACUAUUUUAUACACAAUGCAUAUCUGUGCUUAUUAAAGAGUUGGAGCUCGGUCAAUUAAUUGGGGGUCGGAAGCUUUGUUCGGCGCGAUGUUCGGACAAUCUAUUGUGCAAGUGACUUGGAGCCAUAGAAGGAAUCGCAAUACAUGCUUACAAAACACUUAUAUCAGGUCAUUUUAUAUUAAGGUUUUAGUAGAGGUUCUUGGUUAAAACAUUUAUUUAGUAGAAGACAUACACAUAGUCUCAGUGAGCUUCUGGUCUGGUAAAAGGUCAGAAGUGCAACAGGUGAAUUGAGAAAGAGCAUUUGAGGACGAGACACAGACAGUAGGUGAAUUGAGAAAGAGCAUUUGAGGACGAGACACAGACAGUAGGUGAAGAGGUGACACAAAGAGCAUGUGAGGUCAACACACACACACACAUAGAGUUAAAUUUAUUUAGAGGAGAGGUUACUUAUGUUUGGCUGUAACUGCAAAAGUGUCUCGGUAAAAGAGGAACCGUUCCUUGUUGUCUCGGCAAGAAAGAG
ensembl:lncRNA